UACAGAGGUCUCAAGCGUUGUUCGGAUUCAUUGGGCGUAAAGGGUGUGUAGGUGGCGCCGUAAGUCGGGUGUGAAAUUUCGGAGCUUAACUGGGGAACUGCGUCUGAGACUGGAUAGCUUGAGUGCAGGAGAGGAACGCGGAAUUCCAGGUGUAGCGGUGAAAUGCGUAGAUAUCUGGAGGAACACCGGUGGCGAAGGCGGGUCUCCGGGCCGAUACUGACGCUGAGGAGCGAAAGCGUGGGGAGCGAACAGG
rnacentral:rRNA from 1 species